ensembl:lncRNA
GAAUGGAGGAAUCUGUCCAGAGCUGUGCCCCUGCUUGCCACAGGAGCUGCGGCGGGAGGAGAAGAACGUGGGCCAAAAGGUAAGAGGAGCUCCUUUGGGUUCUGGGCUUGAAGCAAAGCUGAGAAGCCAUGCCCGGGAGGAGGUGUGGGUAGCUACAGGCCACCUUGCUAUCUCCCCAAGAGAUGAGGUGUGUGGGCUAGGCACCGGGCAGGGGUGCUGGCCAGAAGCAAGCAUCUCUGUGGAGGAAGGCAAAGGGCGGAGGAGGUUCAAGGGUAGCUACCGGGCAUGGCCUUGCUCAGCAAGGGGAGGAAAGCCUGAAGGGCACGAGAAGGGGAUAGAGAAGGGCAGGCAGUAGGC